AUUGAACGCUGGCGGCAGGCCUAACACAUGCAAGUCGAACGAGUGGCGGACGGGUGAGUAAUUUCUGGGAAACUGCCUGAUGGAGGGGGAUAACUACUGGAAACGGUAGCUAAUACCGCAUACCAUCAGAUGUGCUCAGAUGGGAUUAGCUUGUUGGUGGGGUAACGGCUCACCAAGGCGACGAUCCCUAGCUGGUCUGAGAGGAUGACCAGCAACACUGGGACUGAGACACGGUCCAGACUCCUACGGGAGGCAGCAGUGGGGAAUAUUGCACAAUGGGCGCAAGCCUGAUGCAGCCAUGCCGCGUGUAUGAAGAAGGCCUUCGGGUUGUAAAGUCCUUUCGGCGGGGAAGCGUUACCCACAAAAAAAGCACCGGCUAACUCCGUGCCAGCAGCCGCGGUAAUUC
rnacentral:rRNA from 1 species